AGUAAGUUUCAACCAAUGGAAAUACCAAACUGACGAAUGAAUAAGAUGCCUAAAAUAGUGCUUCUUUGGGCAUUUUAUAAAUUUCCCUAUAAAUACGAACAAAUUAAAAUUACUUACCAGUAGGUGCGCAGACUUACUACUUUACAAUCAUCCACGAUGGGUAAUAAUCCAGAACGAGACGAUAAAUUAAACCCACGGCCGAAGCCGGAGGAUGAGAAUAUGAAAAAAAGAAGGGAGGAAGCAGAGAAGAGGCGGAAGAAGGAGUCUUGGUGGUGUAUCAUUAUGUGAAUUGCAGUUUUCUUCAUAGACCAGAACAAAAAUGUUUGGCUGAAUCCAGUAUAUACAAAAGUUAAACUUGUUUGUGCAUAAACAUGUGUCAGAGACUACAAAUACGAUCAUAUAACCAAAUUAUAAAUAAAACAGACAUCACAACAAAUUAGAAGUUUUAAAAGAGUGUUUCUCUGUAAUGUUAAUCUUUUCUCCAAUUUGGAUAAGUUGCUAAAAACAGUAGAAUUGUCUAUAAUAUGACAUCGUAUAUUUUUCUAAUUUCAUAAUUUUACCUGGUCUAGAAAAUGUCACAAUUUCAAUUUUAAUAAAAUAUUAGGAAAUGAUAAA